rnacentral:rRNA from 1 species
AUUGAACGCUGGCGGCAGGCCUAACACAUGCAAGUCGAGCGAGGGGCGGACGGGAGAGUAAUGCCGGGGACUUGCCCAGUCGAGGGGUAUAAAAGUUAGAAAGGACUUCUAAUACCGCAUACGAUUAGAUUGCACAGGGGGGAUUAGCUAGUUGGUGGGGUAAUGGCUCACAAAGGCGACGCUCCCUAGCUGGUCUGAGAGGAUGAUCAGCCACACUGGAACUGAGACACGGCCCAGACUCCUACGGGAGGCAGCAGUGGGGAAUAUUGCACAAUGGGGGAAACCCUGAUGCAGCCAUGCCGCGUGUGUGAAGAAGGCCUUCGGGUUGUAAAGCACUUUCAGCGAGGAGGCGUUACUCGCAGAAGAAGCACCGGCUAACUCCGUGCCAGCAGCCGCGGUAAUAC